rnacentral:rRNA from 1 species
CCCUUAGACACUCUAGGCGGCACGCGCGCUACAAUGGGUGGAAGAACGUGUUACUGCCUCCGAAAGGAGGGGUGAAUCACGAAUUCUUGCCCGUGAAUGGGAUGGUUUGUUGCAAUUUUCGGACUUGAACUAGGAAUCCCUUGUAAACAUGCUCAAGAAUAGCGUGUUGAAUACGUCCCUGCCGUUUGUACACACCGCCCGUCGUUUCUUCCGACUGAUACUCAUUGUGAGUUGCAAGGACCCUUUAUUGGGAAAUUGCUGCAAAUGCUUUGUAUUGGAGGAAGAAAAAGUCGUAACA